CUGGCUCAGGAUGAACGCUGGCGGUAUGCUUAACACAUGCAAGUCGAACGGGAUGCUUAGGCAUCUAGUGGCGGACGGGUGAGUAACGCGUGAGAAUCUGGCUCCAGGUCGGGGAUAACAGUUGGAAACGACUGCUAAUACCGGAUGUGCCGAGAGGUGAAAGAUUUAUUGCCUGGAGAUGAGCUCGCGUCUGAUUAGCUAGUUGGUGGUGUAAGGGACCACCAAGGCGUCGAUCAGUAGCUGGUCUGAGAGGAUGAUCAGCCACACUGGGACUGAGACACGGCCCAGACUCCUACGGGAGGCAGCAGUGGGGAAUUUUCCGCAAUGGGCGAAAGCCUGACGGAGCAAUACCGCGUGAGGGAGGAAGGCUCUUGGGUCGUAAACCUCUUUUCUCAAGGAAGAAGAAAGUGACGGUACUUGAGGAAUAAGCAUCGGCUAACUCCGUGCCAGCAGCCGCGGUAAUACGGAGGAUGCAAGCGUUAUCCGGAAUGAUUGGGCGUAAAGGGUCUGCAGGUGGAACUGAAAGUCUGCUGUUAAAGAGUUUGGCUUAACCAAAUAAAAGCGGUGGAAACUACAGAACUAGAGUGCGGUAGGGGCAAAAGGAAUUCCUGGUGUAGCGGUGAAAUGCGUAGAUAUCAGGAAGAACACCGGUGGCGAAAGCGUUUUGCUAGACCGUAACUGACACUGAGGGACGAAAGCUAGGGGAGCGAAUGGGAUUAGAUACCCCAGUAGUCCUAGCCGUAAACGAUGGAUACUAGGCGUGGCUUGUAUCGACCCGAGCCGUGCCGGAGCUAACGCGUUAAGUAUCCCGCCUGGGGAGUACGCACGCAAGUGUGAAACUCAAAGGAAUUGACGGGGGCCCGCACAAGCGGUGGAGUAUGUGGUUUAAUUCGAUGCAACGCGAAGAACCUUACCAAGACUUGACAUCCUGCGAAUCCUGGUGAAAGCUGGGAGUGCCUUAGGGAGCGCAGAGACAGGUGGUGCAUGGCUGUCGUCAGCUCGUGUCGUGAGAUGUUGGGUUAAGUCCCGCAACGAGCGCAACCCUCGUUUUUAGUUGCCAGCAUUAAGUUGGGCACUCUAGAGAGACUGCCGGUGACAAACCGGAGGAAGGUGAGGAUGACGUCAAGUCAGCAUGCCCCUUACGUCUUGGGCUACACACGUACUACAAUGCUACGGACAGAGGGCAGCGAGCCAGGGAUGGCAAGCGAAUCCAGAAACCGUAGCUCAGUUCAGAUCGAAGGCUGCAACUCGCCUUCGUGAAGGAGGAAUCGCUAGUAAUUGCAGGUCAGCAUACUGCAGUGAAUUCGUUCCCGGGCCUUGUACACACCGCCCGUCACACCAUGGAAGUUGGUCACGCCCGAAGUCAUUACCCCAACCGAAAGGAGGGG
rnacentral:rRNA from 1 species